ACAAGAAUUAUGACUGGUAUCUGUAGGCAC
rnacentral:misc_RNA from 1 species